rnacentral:lncRNA from 1 species
CAUGGAGCAAGCAGCUAGUGUGAACUUAUCUUGGUCAAUAAACGCUCAGUAGAAUCAUCAUCAUCAAGAGAGAAAGUUGAACGAAAACUGACAGGUGUAAGCUAGCAAAUGCAGGUGUCAUUAGACAUUCCAGAUGUCAUCAUCUUAUUGGCUCAAGUCCUAGUUUAGUGAAUCCUUCCUAAUCAAAGACCGGUAGAUAGAAAAGAAUUAAACGUACAAGGAGAGCGUGACAAAUGAGGAUGUUUAAAGGCGUAAAAACAAGGGGCGAAAAGGCUAUAAAAGGAGACAUAUGAGAAGAUAAGGGCCACAAAAUUAAAAAGAGUGAGGCUGAGAGAGAGAUAUAUAUACACAUCUAUUUCUCACACCUGCACACACUACACACAAAAUUAAAUUCUUCAAAAUACUUAAAUUUUCGUUAGGGUAAUCUUUAUUUUUAUUUUCUUCCCCCUUCUCUAUCAUCCCGUUUCUUUAAUCCCUUUCUGUAAGCAGUCUGUCUUUCAAGAAGUUUUUAUGGGUUUGUGUUUUUGAGGUUUUUGAAUUUGUAAAAAAUUGGAAAAAAUGCAAACUUAAAUGAAUUUUUCUUAAAAGCUAGGUGUUUUCAGAAACGAGAUUCAAGAAUUUCAGUAAAUUUGUAGAGUUCAUUACUCAUUUUUUUGUUUUUUCUAUUUUCAGCUUUAGAGGGCUUAUUAGUUGUCCCUUCUAAGGUUUAUUUUUUGUUACCACAAGAUAAAAGGGGUUGUUAUUUGAAAACCUCUUUGUAUCCACUUAUCUUUUUGUAUUUUCACUAUUUGUUGGUUUAUUAUUUCUUGGUAAUCAAUCACCUUUUCUUUUAUUUGAUAAGAAACAGGUUGAUCUUUUAAUUCUUUUUUUUCUUAAAUUUGUGUGAAUUUUAGGUAUGGCAGCUACAAUGGAUUUUUGGACUAGUACACUUUUAGAUCUUAACUCAUCAAACUCUUUGCAGGGUGGUGGUGAGCUGAUGGAAGCACUUGCACCUUUUAUCAAAAGUGCUUCUCCUAUCAAUUAUCCUCCUAUUUCACCUUCUUUCUCUUUUCCCUCUACAAAUUCUCAAUCUUUUCCUAUUACUACCACUACUUCUUCUACUUUAACUUCAUUUCCCUAUGAUUCAUUUUAUUUCACCUUCUUUCUCUUGUCCCUCUACAUAUUCUCAAUCUUUUCCUAUUACUACCACUACUUCUUCUACUUUAACUUCAUUUCCCUAUGAUUCAUUUUCCUUAACAUCGCCGCCUAAUAUGACCUAUGAUGUUUGCUCCACUUCCACUACCAUAAACCCUACUUUUUCACAAGGGUUUUCUGGUUUCGAAAUGGAGCAACCGGGCUCAAUUGGGCUGGAUCAGUUAACACAAGCCCAGUUUCACCAACUCCAAGCUCAAAUCUCCCUCCAAAACAACCACCAACAGC